AACGAACGCUGGCGGCAUGCCUAACACAUGCAAGUCGAACGAGACCUUCGGGUCUAGUGGCGCACGGGUGCGUAACGCGUGGGAAUCUGCCCUUUGGUGCGGAAUAACUCAGAGAAAUUUGAGCUAAUACCGCAUAAUGUCUUCGGACCAAAGAUUUAUCGCCAAAGGAUGAGCCCGCGUAGGAUUAGCUAGUUGGUGGGGUAAUGGCCUACCAAGGCGACGAUCCUUAGCUGGUCUGAGAGGAUGAUCAGCCACACUGGGACUGAGACACGGCCCAGACUCCUACGGGAGGCAGCAGUGGGGAAUAUUGGACAAUGGGCGAAAGCCUGAUCCAGCAAUGCAGCGUGAGCGAUGAAGGCCUUAGGGUUGUAAAGCUCUUUUACCCGGGAUGAUAAUGACAGUACCGGGAGAAUAAGCCCCGGCUAACUCCGUGCCAGCCGCCGCGGUAA
rnacentral:rRNA from 1 species